rnacentral:rRNA from 1 species
UACGUAGGCAGCGAGCGUUCUUCGGAGUUACUGGGCGUAAAGGGUGUGUAGGCGGUUCUUUGAGUUUGGUGUGAAAUCUCCCGGCUCAACCGGGAGGGUGCGCCGAAUACUGAGGGACUAGAGUGCGGGAGAGGAAAGUGGAAUUCCUGGUGUAGCGGUGAAAUGCGUAGAUAUCAGGAGGAACACCGGUGGUGUAGACGGCUUUCUGGACCGUAACUGACGCUGAGACACGAAAGCGUGGGUAGCAAACAGG